UACGGGGGGAGCAAGCGUUGUUCGGAUUUACUGGGCGUAAAGAGCGCGCAGGCGGUCGUGCAAGUCGCGUGUGAAAGCCCCCGGCUCAACUGGGGAGGGUCACGCGAUACUGCUCGACUGGAAGGCAGGAGAGGGAAGUGGAAUUCCCGGUGUAGUGGUGGAAAUGCGUAGAUAUCGGGAGGAACACCAGUGGCGAAGGCGACUUCCUGGCCUGUUCUUGACGCUGAGGCGCGAAAGCUAGGGUAGCAAACGGGG
rnacentral:rRNA from 1 species